rnacentral:rRNA from 1 species
CCUACGGGCGGCAGCAGUGAGGAAUAUUGGUCAAUGGGAGAGAUCCUGAACCAGCCAAGCCGCGUGAGGGAAGACGGCCCUAUGGGUUGUAAACCUCUUUUGUCGGAGAACAAAACCCGGGACGUGUCCCCUUCUGCGUGUAUCCUGAGAACAAGGAUCGGCGAACUCCGUGCCAGCAGCCGCGGUAAUACGGAGGAUGCGAGAGUUAUCCGGAUUUAUUGGGUUUAAAGGGUGCGUAGGCGGGCCGUUAAGUCAGCGGUAAAAUUUCGGGGCGCAACCCCGUCGAGCCGUUGAAACUGGCAGACUUGAGUGGGCGAGAAGUACGCGGAAUGCGCGGUGUAGCGGUGAAAUGCAUAGAUAUCGCGCAGAACUCCGAUUGCGAAGGCAGCGUACCGGCGCCAGACUGACGCUGAGGCACGAAAGCGUGGGGAUCGAACAGGAUUAGAUACCCUUGUAGUC